UUAAACUUUAACUUUAUAAAGAAAUAUUUUGACGUUUUUAAUGUAGGUCACUUCAUUGAUAAUGGCUUUGAUAAUUCUAUCAUUUCCCAGGUCCACCUAGAGCAGCGACCAACAUCUCAACUCCGGACAUUAAACAUGACUCUGUACAACUUAUGUGGAGGCCUGGGUCUAAUUGGGGGCUCAAGCAAUACUUCGAGGUGGAGUUCAGAUGUCUAAAUAAUACACAAUGUAACUCGACUUGGAUGACUGCUAUUCCGAAUGUUCCAGAGCAAGCUACUAAUGGCGCAUGGACACAGGUCAGCAUUACAAACUUGAAGCCUGGUACAGAUUACGAGUUCAGAAUCCUAUCCAUCAAUUCGCGUGGUUCCGUCACAUCGGAACCAUUUCAGCGAAGGACAGCAGAGAUGGCCAUCAUUACGGAACUACCACAAACAG
rnacentral:sRNA from 1 species